UUGUAUGUGGUGCUGAGGAUCGAACCUGGGCACGCAUGCCAGGAUCAACAUGAACUUCAGUUGGUCUGCAGUGAUAUCCUGCUAUAAUCCAGAACUACGUUCAUGGACACUAUUACCCGUCCCUAUAAAAAGUAGCUAGAGCCACUCCUGGAAAGAGAAAAAAGACCAACAGGACAGUUUGGAAUCACAAUGCCAACUUUCAAGGCAUUGACGCUUACCAGAAAAAUCAUCACGCUGGACGAGAUUCUUUGAAAAUUCUUUAUUGCACUAAAAGCCAACAGAAGCCUCGUAAGACAGCUCCAGUCUAGACCUAGGUGCUUACAGAAAAGAACUGUGGUAAACAGAAAACAAGGCAAUACGAAGAGUUCAGGAAGGCAGUGAAGAGGCCCCAAAAGAAGCAAGCAAUGGGAAAACAUUUGCAGUCUGUGAAAUUAUAUCCUUUGGUAUAAGUGUUUUAAAAAGCAGAAAAGGGCCUUGUAGCCUUCAAGAUGGUCCCCAAUGAGUCUUACCUUGUGGUAUUCACACCCUUAAGACUGAUGUAUGUCAUCAAAAGGAUACCGUGGAAACUUAUCUCAAGAAAAUAGCAUAUGAACCACUUACUGAAGCUAAGUCAACAAAAGACACUGCAGCUUUUAACUUGCUUACUCUUGAAACACUGAAUCUUGGGGGAGCCAGUUGCCAUAAAGUAAGGACAAUGGAGCAACCACGUGGAAGGAAUCAAAUAAUGAGCAACUGAGCCUCCUACCAACAGCCAGCACUAACUGGCCAGGCAAAUGAGUGACCUGGAUUAGAAGAUACUCUAGCCCCAGUGUAGUUUUCAAAUGACUAUAUCCGGGAAAAAUCUUGACUGCAUUCUCACAGGUAACCUGAACUAGAUCACCCAGGUGCAGAGUCCCAGAAGGCUGCAACAUGCCUGCUUCUUCUCUUCCAUAUAUAAGUCAAGGGAAAAGGAAAAGCAAAAGAUAUUAAUGAAUUUGUCCAUUGUUCUUUACUUCUGAUAGCUGAAGCUAAGCAUUAAGGAAGCAAAAUGUUUUCAAUGAAACUUCACUGCUCGGGGCUGGGGAUAUGGCUCCAGCGGUAGCGCGCU